AAAAACAUGAAUUAAACUAAGCUCCGUCCCUUAAUUAAGGGAGCGAGGGCACGUCCCUUACGAGCCACGUGUCUAUUGUUCAUUGGAUUGAGGAGAAGUAGGUCUGUCGGUUUGGUCUCUUUUCUUUUUUUCCUUCUUUUUCUUUUCCUUCGCUCCUCUCUGCGUUCGUCGAUUUCUCUUCUUCAAGGAGCUUCUCCUCAACGAAACGUCGGCGCUCCCGGAGGCUUUUGUCGAUGAUGGAAAUCAGCGUCCCCUCUAUCAGUUUCUGUCUUCGACCAAAAAAAACGACGAGAUCUAAAACUCGUGGUGGCUGUCGGAGACGAAGGAGAACGGUGACUGUUUCAAGCGAAUCGAAAGGUCAAAUCUUUCUCUCUACCAGACAAAACCCCCCAAGAUUUUUUAUAAAGAUUGGAAGAACAAGAGGCAUGCUAAAGUUAAGGGAGGAUAAAGAAACGACAGAGUGAUGGUUUCUCGGGCACCGUUGCAUUGUCUUGUGAUAGUAUCUCAAACACAUACCAAUUGUUAAUCAAGGUAAAAGCUAUAGUUGAAGUGAAGUGGUGAAAGCACUGUGAUUUGAUAAAUGGUGAAAGGUCUGUGAUUUUCAGAAGAAGAGUAUAGUUGUUGUUGUAGUCUUGUGUAGUCAGUCACGAGAGAUGUAGUUGUUGUGUGUGUGUAGUGAUGAGAAAUGUAUGUGUGUGUGUGUUCUCGUUGUAGUCUGGUGUCACAAGACACCCUUGUAAUUCACGAGACACACUUGUAAUUCAUAAACAAACUUUAUAAAUCAGAUACCAUUCUUCUCUUUCUCAAAAUAUUGAAGUCUCCAUCAUCUUUCUUGUUUAUCUCACAUUCUUUAUCUCCAUUUUCUUAACUUGUGUUCUUAUAUACCAUCAUUAAGAAACAACCAAUAAACCAUUAAAAUUGAAGGUCUCUUAACAAACUUUUUUAUCUUAAAUUUAAUAGUUAAAAAUUCACUAAGAACCACCUAAGGGUUUUACCAAUAAACAUGCUCUUAAAUACAGUAGUAGUAGUAUUUAUUUACCACACAAACCAUACACAGUUUCUAUCAAUUCUAAUCUAACCCAAAAGUUUUUCAAUUGUUCCACUGUAGCCCAGAGGAUAAAACUUGGUCGUUUUGUCCUUAAACCCUGAGACGGAGUCCCCAAAUCAGAGAUCCAAUUCCUUCUGGGCCUUCCAAAUUUAGUAACGUUCUCCCCCAAAUUCUGAUCGGGGUUUUCUAUUAAUUUUUAUCAUUUAUCAACACUGAACCUUUCGCUAUCGGUCAAUUUGAAGGAGGUUGGUCUUGCCUAAUCUAAGUACUGAAGCUUGGGCUAGUCUCUUUCUUCAGUCUUGUAACAUGGAUGAAGCAGCAUAAUGGAGUGGAUGAUAUGAGUAAGCUGACUUACAAUCUACAGAGGAGAUACGCUCUCAAUGAUAUCAACUAGAUUCAGUUUUUAGCUCAUGUACAAGUUUUGGGUGUGUUGAAGACUGAAGACUUCAAAUUUAGCUGUGAGACAUACACUGGAAGCAUUCUGAUCGCUGUUAAUCCCGUUUAAAAAGCUUCCACAUCGCUACAACGGGUACAUGAUGGAGCAGUACAAGGGAGCACCAUUCGGUGAGCUCAGUUCUCAUGUUUCUGCAGUUUCUGAAGUUGCAUGCAGAGCAAUUAUUGGCGACAGUCGAAGUCAGUCUCUAUACUCGUUAGCGGUGAAAGUGGAGCUGGAAAAACUGAGACUACUAAACUAAUCAUGCAGUAUCUUACAUAUGUUGGGGGACGUGCUGCUGAAGAUAAUAGAAGUGUUGAGCAGCAAGUCCUUGAAUCAAACCCUCUCUUGGAAGCAUUUGGGAAUGCGGAAACAGUUAGAAACGAUAAUUCCAGGUGGGUUAUGGAAAUUUUGUUUGGCCCUGUUCGUUUCGUGGUCGCCAGCGUCAGCGACCAGAGUCAGCGACCAGCGACUGCGACAUGAUGUCGCUGAUAGUUGUUCGUUUGAAGGUCGCGCGAUUGAUCGCAGCGGUUGUCGCUAUGUUGUUCGUUUCUAUGUCGCGCGAUUGAUCGCAGCGGUUGUCGCUAUGCUGUUCGUUUCUGUAUCGCUGGCGAUCAAAUAUUUACUUUUGACAUACAUUUGCUCUUGUGUACUUAGGUUUCGUCAAAAACGUGGCUAAAUCAUUAAAACUGUAAAGUGUAAUAAAUCACACCAUGGAUGCAAUAUGUUUAAUCGUUUCAGUUUCUUAUA